rnacentral:tRNA from 1 species
UGCCUCAUUGUGUAAUGGUAGCACAGCAGAUUCUGGUUCUGUAUGUCAGGGUUCGAGUCCUUGUGAGGCAACAA